rnacentral:rRNA from 1 species
AGAGUUUGAUCAUGGCUCAGAGCGAACGCUGGCGGCAGUAACACAUGCAAGUCGAGCGGGCGUAGCAAUACGUCAGCGGCAGACGGGUGAGUAACGCGUGGGAACAUACCUUUUGGUUCGGAACAACACAGGGAAAACUUGUGCUAAUACCGGAUAAGCCCUUACGGGGAAAGAUUUAUCGCCGAAAGAUUGGCCCGCGUCUGAUUAGCUAGUUGGUGAGGUAAUGGCUCACCAAGGCGACGAUCAGUAGCUGGUCUGAGAGGAUGAUCAGCCACAUUGGGACUGAGACACGGCCCAAACUCCUACGGGAGGCAGCAGUGGGGAAUAUUGGACAAUGGGGGCAACCCUGAUCCAGCCAUGCCGCGUGAGUGAUGAAGGCCCUAGGGUUGUAAAGCUCUUUUGUGCGGGAAGAUAAUGACGGUACCGCAAGAAUAAGCCCCGGCUAACUUCGUGCCAGCAGCCGCGGUAAUACGAGGGGGGCUAGCGUUGCUCGGAAUCACUGGGCGUAAAGGGUGCGUAGGCGGGUUUUUAAGUCAGGGGUGAAAUCCUGGAGCUCAACUCCAGAACUGCCUUUGAUACUGAAGAUCUUGAGUCCGGGAGAGGUGAGUGGAACUGCGAGUGUAGAGGUGAAAUUCGUAGAUAUUCGCAAGAACACCAGUGGCGAAGGCGGCUCACUGGCCCGGGUACUGACGCUGAGGCACGAAAGCGUGGGGAGCAAACAGGAUUAGAUACCCUAGUAGUCC